rnacentral:misc_RNA from 1 species
AAAGAAAGAAUCAAAGAAUUUCAAAACUGUUGUACUUCCCCAGUAACCUGUACAAAACCUAGUCAUCUAUAAAACAAUUGAAGGAAUAUUUACAAGAUAUAUACAUGUAUUGGUUAGUCUUCCAGGCUCACCCAUCAAUAUACGGUUGCUUGAAACUUUGAAGCCAAGGAGAGCCAGAUCCAUCUGCUUUCCUUUCUUCCCUUACUUUUUCCCACUUCUUGCUGCUUGCGAACCACCAUCAGAUGACUCCAAAGCAGCCACAUUAGCUGCAUCAGCAUCAGAAAGAACCGGCUUUUUAAGCGCAUCUAUAAACAAUGUCUCUGAUACAGUCGCACCGUUGUAAGAUGAGACCCUUCUAAAACGCAUUUCUUUCUUCCCAGAUGC